rnacentral:rRNA from 1 species
CCUACGGGAGGCAGCAGCAAGGAAUCUUCCGCAAUGGGCGCAAGCCUGACGGAGCAACGCCGCGUGGGGGACGACACCCUUCGGGGCGUAAACCCCUUUUCGGCGGGAAGAAGGCGGGGGCAACCCCGCUUGACGGUACCGCCGGAAGAAGGACCGGCUAACCACGUGCCAGCAGCCGCGGUAAUACGUGGGGUCCGAGCGUUGUCCGGAGUUACUGGGCGUAAAGGGCGCGCAGGCGGCGGCGUGGGUCCGGCGUGAAAGCCCCCGGCUCAACCGGGGAGGGUCGCCGGGGACCGCGCCGCUUGAGGGCGGCAGGGGCCGGUGGAAUGCCUGGUGUAGUGGUGAAAUGCGUAGAGAUCAGGCGGAACACCCGUGGCGAAGGCGGCCGGCUGGGCCGUCCCUGACGCUGAGGCGCGAAGGCGUGGGGAGCGAACGGGAUU